GAUGAAUUCAGGAACUCUCUAUUUCUAUGUUCAAUGUGUUUAUACAAUCCAGUUCCAAAUUUGCUAGUCAAUUUUCUUUCCACUGUUCAGAUUAUAGAUCAAAGGCAAAGCACAGUGCUUUGUUUGAGGAAUAUGAUCUCCAGGGACAGCAGCCUUGGUGAAUUUUCCUUUAAAGAUAGUCGGUAGACCCUAGACCCUAAAGAAGCUGGCUAUGUAAAACCUUGGCUCUCAGAUGUUAGCACUGUGAUUCUCACCACACUUUCCUAACCUGGCUGCAUGUCUAGGGUGUCUGGCCAUUGGUGGCUGUGACCAUAGGAGCCACGUACCACUGGGGAGAUAUCUCAUGCAGAUCAAAGAAGAGAGAUAAAUGAAAUCACCUGAUGCUUCUCCCUGGCUUCCUUUGCUAAUAACCAAAGAACUUUCUGGCCAAGACUUGCCUCCCCACCUCCAGGAGCUGCAAACAAGACAAGAGAGGAAAAGACCUGAGCAUGGCUGCAUGGGAACCCCAGGAGAGACCUGCAUGAGGGCAAGGACGAAAGCUUUGUUCCCAGACACAUCCUGGGAUGCCAAGUUGCAGCCUGGAAUUUUUACAGCUGAGUUUUAAACCCCUGACAAUGAGAGUUUAUAAUGGAAAUGCUGCCAGACCUUUAACUAUAGCGACGCCACUAUAAUAUUUCACAAAGACCUUGCACUACAAAUGCAACCCCAGUGCCUCCACAAGCCUCAUCUGCAGUGCCACCUCCCUCAACCUUAGCCUGUGCCUUGGGAAUGUGGCAGGUGAACCAUUUCAGAAAUCAGGUGGCAUCUGCUGGGUCACUCCUGGACAAAGAGUGCUGCUCUGCAUUUUAAAAUUCUGUGACAGACCAACCUGAAAUCUCUCUAGGAAUCGCACCAAGUCUGCUCAAGGGCGAGAGGGAACUUCUAUAAUUCUAUUCUUGGGAAUGUAGUGCCAAUUAAGACACAAAAUUUGUAUGUGAACCCAGAGUGCUUCCAGUUCUCCUUUUCUGAAUGCAUCUUGGAAUAUGAUAAACAUAUACUGAAAGCAUUUCCACUGAACUUUGAGCUUCGUUAACAUCUUCAACCCCUGCUGACCCGAUGAUGAAUUUCAAUCCAGCAAUCAGAUUCCAGCCUCUGAGGGUUGUGCUAAAAUUUUUAUAAACUGCACAGGAGAUGAACCUCCUUUCCAGUGAAGGGUGAAAGAAGGAUUAUCCUAAAUGCAAGAAGAAAUUACAGUCUGUGUAAAUCAGCUUUCUGUAACUAUAACAAAAUAUUUGUAAUAAUUGACCUAGCAAGAGAAAAGAUUUAUUUUGGCUCACAGGUUGGAGGUUCCAGUCCAUAAUUGGGCCUAUACAUUUGGUCCUAUAGAGAGGCAACACAUCAUGACAGGAACAGGGGGCAUAGCAAAAAUUGUAUGUCAUAGCCAAAAAGAAAGAGAAAAGGGA
ensembl:lncRNA